CCCGCCAGAGUGGGAGGACACGGACAAGUUGCUACACGCGUUGGAUAGGAAAAAGCAGCGGAAGAUCAAGGAUUGGGCCAACCAUCACAGGAAGUAUGUCGUACAGUUCGCGCUUAGUGUGGAGCAAGCAAGGGCUGGAAAACGAGCCCAGCUUCGUGAGCACUGCCCGAUCGCGUUCAACAACUAUCUCACAUGGUUUCUUGCAAGUACCCGCGUGGAGGUAUGCAAGCCGGCGUAUGCUGAGGAGAUUCUGGAAGAACCCACCGUUUUUGAUGAGGUAGCCCAGCACCAGUACAACGCAUUUGUCAGGAAAGGCAACUCAGUGAUCCCUUCAGCUCCAAUGAUGAACUUUGUGGUUUACCCUUUUUGCUUUUCCAUUCGCACUAUUCACAUCUUCGCUUGCCUAACACUUUGAUACCGUUUUUGUUCAUAGCGUGCCCAAAUCAAGAAAGCAGCUGAUGAGACCGAGACUAUUCUGGAAACAACCCCGGCUGGCAAAAGCGAUGGGGAAGGUGCACUUCGAGCAUUCAUUAAGCGCCAGGGCCAAAAGUUAAGGCG